UACAGAGGUCUCAAGCGUUGUUCGGAUUCAUUGGGCGUAAAGGGUGUGUAGGUGGCGCCGUAAGUCGGGUGUGAAAUUUCGAGGCUUAACCUCGAAACUGCAUUCGAUACUGCGGUGCUUGAGGACUGGAGUUCGGCAGGGGAGACUGGAAUUCCUGGUGUAGCGGUGAAAUGCGCAGAUAUCAGGAGGAACACCGGUGGCGAAGGCGGGUCUCUGGGCCGAUACUGACGCUGAGGAGCGAAAGCGUGGGGAGCGAACAGG
rnacentral:rRNA from 1 species